GGGGAGCAAGGAGGCAGGAUGCUCCCAGUCUCUCCACAGGACAGACAGGUGGUUGGGUGGAUGGUGGGACGAGGUAUGUGUUCCGUGAGCCCUGACUCCAUGGCUGCUUACAGAACUCACACCACCCCUUGGUCCACAGGGCUUCUGACCUUUCCUGAGAGCUGAGCACAGUGCACCCCCGCCAGGGCCUCUGCUGCCCCCCUUCAGCCACAGGCCUGCCCUCACCUCUGCUCAACAGCAUGCACCUGUGGCCCAGGACGUGCACAAACCCGCCAGCACAGACACCCUCCAGACAAACAUUGGAUGCUCCAAUUGACUGUUGGCCCCUCUGAGAAGAGAAGAAAAUCCAGAAGUUCCACAUUUGACAACAUGACCUUCUACCUCCCUGGACAGAAGCUGGGGGCCUGGGAGGCAGGAUUGUGAGCGGGAGGAGUCAGUCUGUGCCCCCUGGAGCGCCUGACGCCCCCUCUCCACUGAGCACAGUGUGGACCUGUUGGCACACACCCGGGGCCGAGUGCACAGAGCCUAGGCCCCUCCCCAGGGCUUCCUUCCUUCCUCCCAUGGCCUCAUUGGUCUCAGGAAGGUAGACAGGGACGUGGAAAGGGUGUGAAGGCCUGUGGGGGGGGGGGGCCAUGUGUGCGUCCCGACACUCCACGUGGCCGCCACCGCCAGCACAGGCCCCGCCUUGCCCCACCUGAGUGUGCUGCACCAAACAGCUUGAGACACCUGGUGCCACGGAUGAGAUUAGGAGGGACGGAGAGCGGUGUCACCUGUUGGCCACACCUGGUGACCUUCCUCCUCCAUUCGGUGUGUGUCCUGAGGAUGGAGACACUCGCCCAGGACACAAGGAGCUGGUUGCAGACCUCCCUACACACCCUGCAAGCGGCCACUCAACGGCCACGUACUCGUCUGCAUACUCCACUGAGAGAGGCCCCGAACAAUCCUUCUGCAACCUCAUGGAGAUCGCAGGCGCACCUAACGACGAGAGGAGGAGGACCAAGCUCGUGGCUGCCCAGGACCCCACGUGGACCUGGGAGUGACCCCGUACCCAGUGCCAUAGGUGACCCCGUACCCAGUGCUGUAGGUGACCCCUGUACCCAGUGCCGUAGGUGGACUGGCCUCAGAAUGGUGGCCUCCAAGGGAUGGCCAGCUUGGGGAACAUUUUGGGGCUCACACCGAAUUUGCCCUCGGACGCACAGCAGAUCUGUGGGGAAAUCCGGGGCCCGUGGCCACCCCUCGCUCUGCGGGCAGGGCUAGGGGACAGCACCCCGGCGGUUCUCGCCAGCAAACCCACCAGACCCAGUUUGCAUCUCCUCCGGUCACUGGGGAGGCCCGAUUGUUUGUAGCCCUGGCACAGCCCCAGGGAAAGCCAGACAAAGUCUCUUGAUUCAGGUUCGGAGAGAUAAGAAUCCUUCUUAUGGGAAAAUCAUUUCAACCCUCCCUCCCAGCAAGCAGGAAACAGCUCUGACUGCAGCCUGGACCCGAGAAGUGGGUGGAGGGCCCCCCCACCCUCCGAGGCCCGGCCGAGGCAGGAGGUGGGUGUGCCGGGCCAGGUGUGCCAGGCCAGGUGUGCGGCGCGUCGGGCACCGCCCUCGUGCCAGUUCUCCCACCCCGCUGGAAACCCUGGGGCAGAGGGCCCCAGGCCCGGAACUGGGAACUCACACACUCACGAGCAGAAGGCCAUGGUUCUGCGGGCGAUGCCGGGUUCGCACACGUGUGCAGGGGUGGGGGCCAGGCACACGUGUCCCGCGGAGGUGGCCCUCUCGAAACCAGGGCAAUUCUUAGUUUCAGGUUCUCAAAGACCCCAAACCUGGCUGGGGCUCGUGGGGCUGCCUGCCAACACUUGGUCCCACUUGGCUGGCAGAUCCCUGCCCCUCGCUCCGGCAUCCUCCGAGGCUGGCCCGCCAUGCACAAGCCCGUUAGGGAGCCUCCGCCCCAGCUUGGCAGCACUGCUGGGAAGGCUGGCGGGCCUGGGAGCGCACCUGGGCUGAUUUAUGGCCCGAUUGGGAGCCAUGGUCUCCCUCUCUGUUUAGGGAGGGUGAGGCCAGGAGAAAAGACGGGUUUGAUUUAAAACCAGGUGAGCUUCCUGCAUUUCUUUGAUUCCCAGAAUCCAAAAGCAGUUCCUUGGAUCCAAACAUGUAAUGAAGCCAAACCAAGAGAAAAGGGGGUGCAGAGACAGACCCUGUGCAGGCCUCGGCCCUGCGGAGGAUCGUUGCUCCUAACGGACCCCCCUCUGCCUGGUGUUGCAGGCCUCGCAGAGCAGCUCAGCCUUGUGCAUUUCCUGGUCUAGUUGCGACUUGUCCUAUAUACUUUGCAAACGACACACCUGCAGGCAUAUCCUGGCCUCCCGCUGACUGUAACGCUGCUCACAUCUGGAGUCAGGGCCGGUGUGAGCUGUGCUGAGGCCUCGGCUGUGUCGCUCCCCCGAUAACCCCUGUCCCCCCAUGCCCUCUCAGCUCCACCACCAGCGCAUCCUGGGGAGGUUCCUGGAUACCACAUUGUGAAUUUAAAUGUGGGUUUACAUGUGUGUUACGUAACAGUGACCCGGUCCCCGAGCUUGUCUUCAUUAAUUCACAAGCCACUGGCGAGUGCCCACGGCGUGACAGGGGUCCUGCUGCCAGCUGUUGAUGGGAGAAGGGGAAGGACACCUCCCUGCCCUCCCAGAGCUGCAGGGGCAGGAGGUGUGCAGGCGAAGGUCAAGCACCUUCCCUCAUCUAUUCUCCGUGGCCUUGGGCCGUGGGCAGCUGGGGCCACCAGAGGGCUGAUGGGCACCGAGGGUUCCUGGAGGAGGUGGCUUCCUGGCGUUAGUGUGGCCGGGCGGCUGCCCCCCCAGAGGCUUGCAGGACCUAUGUUCGCACCCCCAGGACCCCUCAAAGCCCCGAGGUCCCUGGGGAGAGCGUCUGGGAGGCCGGCCUCCUGCACCACUGUGAGGGACAGUCCUCCAUGCUCUGUUGCAUGUGUUUACAUUUCUGGGUGAGAUUUCUUUUGAAGAAAGGAAUCUGCAUCUGAGGCUAAAAAAAUGUCUGGAAACCCUUACUUUAGUUUCAGAUGGCUGCUGUAUACUUACCGUGCUAAAAUAGGCUCCGUGUGCCCCAUUGUGUCUCAGCGGCACAUACAUCAAGUGACCGCUGGGCACCCUGACAGCUGCUGGCCUCAGAGGAGCUGGUGUUCACGCAGCGGCCACCAGGCCUGACCACCCAGGGCCCGCGGGACGGCUCAGGGUGGCCUCAGGGAUCCUGCCCAGGAAGUGACUUCUGAGUUGAGCAACUCAACCUCGAAGGCCAAUAUCAAUCUAAGAUGUUAUAGAUGGAACAUGCUGGAACCACGUCCAGGGAUCAGUAAAAACCUGGCACAUCAGAUUAACCUACUUUUUAAAAAACACCCAUCAUGUUCAACCUCUGCUGGAACCACAAAUCAAAAACAGGUUUGGUCCUUGCCCUUGAAAUAAAAUAGAUUAAAAUAUUAUUCUGUUCUUCCA
rnacentral:lncRNA from 12 species